GAGGCAGAUGCACGAUGGCUGGCGAUCGGGAAGGUAAACACAACUUGUCAAUUCAGUUCAUCUUCGAUGUUUGAGACCAUGAAGUCCAUCUGGGGGCUUGCACAAGUGCCAGCAUAUAGAGAAGCUGGGGAGAACCUGUACAUCUUUCAGAUGUUUUUCCUUGGAGAUUGGAAGAAAGUGGUUCAUGGAGGACCCUGGCUGUUCAGAGGGAUGGGGAUGCUCAUUGAAGAUUAUGAUGGCAAGCAAGAACCAUCUUCCUUUGUCUUCGAUGGCCUGUAUGUCUGGGCCCAGAUCCAUAAUAUAACUGAACUUUAUCGCAAGAUUGAGGUGGUUGAUCAACUUGCUCGACGGAUCGGCCGGGUCAAGGAGACUCAGCUAUCGCCUAGGCUCUUCUAUGAGGGUGAUUAUGCUCGGGUCCGUUCUAGAAUCCUGGUGAAUAAACCCCUCACAAGGGUGACUCCAUUGAACGUAGUGGGCGAGGGAAGGAGAUUCCUCCCUGUCAAAUAUGAAAAAAUCCCCUAUUUUUGCCAAGUUUGUGGUUUCAUGGGUCACAACCAUGAGGAGUGUGGAGAUGGAGUUUGGGAGGCAAAGGAUAAGCAAUGGGGCAGUUGGAUGCUGGCACAACGGAGGGAAGUAGCUCAGGAGCAGUUGGGUGGCGGCCGAGCAUCUCGAGGGGGCCGUUUUGGAGGCCGAGGCAGAGGAAGAAUAGGCCGGGGCGCCCCACCACCCCGCCAAUCAUCCCUAGUACAUAAACGCACAUCUCAGGAAGCAGGGCUGAAUUCAGGUGCAGUAGAGGAAGAUGAAGAAGUUACCAGCCCUUUGAAACCAGUUCAGAGCAAAAGGAACUUGAAGCAAUGGGAGCCCGAAGAAACCUGA
rnacentral:rRNA from 1 species